rnacentral:rRNA from 1 species
UGCAGUCGAACGGUGAAGCCCAGCUUGCUGGGUGGAUCAGUGGCGAACGGGUGAGUAACACGUGAGCAACCUGCCCUCCACUUCGGGAUAAGCCUUGGAAACGAGGUCUAAUACCGGAUAUGAGCGCCUGCCGCAUGGUGGGUGUUGGAAAGUUUUUCGGUGGGGGAUGGGCUCGCGGCCUAUCAGCUUGUUGGUGGGGUGAUGGCCUACCAAGGCGUCGACGGGUAGCCGGCCUGAGAGGGCGACCGGCCACACUGGGACUGAGACACGGCCCAGACUCCUACGGGAGGCAGCAGUGGGGAAUAUUGCACAAUGGGCGAAAGCCUGAUGCAGCGACGCCGCGUGAGGGAUGACGGCCUUCGGGUUGUAAACCUCUUUCAGCAGGGAAGAAGGCUUCGGUUGACGGUACCUGCAGAAGAAGCGCCGGCUAACUACGUGCCAGCAGCCGCGGUAAUACGUAGGGCGCAAGCGUUGUCCGGAAUUAUUGGGCGUAAAGAGCUCGUAGGCGGUUUGUCACGUCUGGUGUGAAAACCCGAGGCUCAACCUCGGGCUUGCAUCGGGUACGGGCAGACUAGAGUGCGGUAGGGGAGACUGGAAUUCCUGGUGUAGCGGUGGAAUGCGCAGAUAUCAGGAGGAACACCGAUGGCGAAGGCAGGUCUCUGGGCCGCAACUGACGCUGAGGAGCGAAAGCAUGGGGAGCGAACAGGAUUAGAUACCCUGGUAGUCCAUGCCGUAAACGUUGGGCACUAGGUGUGGGGGCUCAUUCCACGAGUUCCCGUGCCGCAGCUAACGCAUUAAGUGGCCCCGCCUGGGGGAGUACGGGCCGCAAAGGCUAAAACUCCAAAGGGAUUUGACGGGGGGCCCGCACAAACGGGCGGAACAUUGCCGGAUUAAAUUCC